UGCUGGGGCCAUUCCAGCUUUGGCUGAUAAUGCGUUUAUUGCGUUACUUUAGUACAGUCGGCCUGCCUCGCCCCACCUCCAGCAGCCCAGCCUGUUCACAGCUUUCUGCUCACUGCUCACUACCCAAGGAGGUGGGGUCUGUCUCCCAGGGUGGGCACUCCAGGCACCUCCUCGGCCCUGGUCGUUGCUCUGGAGCCCGGCUUCCCCGUCCCUUCCCUCCGGCUGAAUCCUGGGCCCGACCUGUGCCGCCCUCCCGGGGCUGCUACAUUCAAGGGUUAUCCUGUUAAUAAAUAAGCCCGCGCAGCUGCCCUCAGCCAGGGCCUGUCGGUUGGUGUCUCCAUCGGCCGGUGACCCCCAAUGUGCCCGGCCCCAACCCGUCCUUCUUUUCAGGGUCUGUCUGGCUCCUCUCUCGCCUGUCGUCUCCUGCUUGGUUCCCGGCGUGGGGACAGUCCAGUCACCAGUGCGUUGCGCUGCGCGGCCCCCGCUCAGCGCGAGGCUCAGGGGCGUGGGUCCUCCGGUUACGGCCCUUUCUCCGCGACUCCAGGGGCAGUGACUGCAGCGCAGGCUGCGGAAAGUCCCGGUACCAGAGUUUGGGGCCCGGCGGCGCGGCGGGCGCAGCCUCCUCGGCCCGCGCCUGUCGUUCGGCCUGCGUAGCACUCAACACGUGCAGCGACAGGCGACGCAGCGGUUGCGUAAAGCCCUGCUCGACGGCGGCGCACAAGUACACGCCCGAGUCCCGGCGCCGCAGCCUGCGCAGCAGUAGUCCCCGGGCGGUGUGCUC
rnacentral:lncRNA from 1 species